UUUUGGUUUUGUUUUUUAACCUAAGAAUGUUAACUGCACAGUGCUGUUUCCUGAGUAUCAAAGCUAAAAUAGUGCCUGUAGGGUACCCUAAAACUGGCUCUCUCUACCCUUGAACAGGCUGAUGGUGGGAAUGGUAGGGAUUACCACGCUUUAGGAUUAGCAUCUAAUUGCAGACUGGACUGCUGUGUGGAUAACAAGACCCAAACACACCAAGUUAAGGAAGUUGUGCCUCAGAUUAUCAUGUGAAUCCAACGAACGAUCUUUCACUUUUGGUGUACAAGAGACGGCCCUGUGGACCCUCCCGGGUCUUCCUUCAUUUUCAGGAUAGGGGUGUUAGAGGGUGAAGAGAAAAGUAAGGACUGCUCUUGGAGAGGCUGUUUUCAAGGUCCUUCUUUUCACACCUCCAGACUUCUUGGUGCAGGUUAAGCUUCAUUUUACCAUAUCCCCUGUAUUUCCUGACAUAAGGUUGGGGGGUGUGUGGCCUGCCCACAGGGAAGGGGCAGGACGUGUUGGGGGUGGGCAGAAGGCCGCAGAGGCCUCAGCCCUCUGAGUGUGGUAUAAGUUAGUUCUGGCCACUGUACUCAUGGCUACUCCUGACCUGGGGCGACUUAGGUGACAUGCAUUCUCCCACUUUUCCCACAUCUAGUCUGAUCUCUUUUCUCCUAUAAAUAUUGGGGU
rnacentral:lncRNA from 1 species